rnacentral:rRNA from 1 species
CUUUACUGUAACUUGAUAUUGAUUUUGAGUUUUGCUUGCGCAGAAUAAGUGGGAGGCUGUGAUAUUAUUUUUAGGGGUAAUUUGAGCUGUGAUAUGAGAUACCACUCUAGAUGGACUAAAAAUCUAAUAUUUAAUCUUAUUUAAAAUUAAGUUGAUAGACAAUUUCAAGUGGACAGUUUUACUGGGGCGGUAGCCUCCUAAAAGGUAACGGAGGCGUACAAAGGUUUUUUCAAUUUAUAUGGUAAUUAAAUAUAGAGUGUAAAGGUAUAAAAAAGCUUGACUGUAAGACAUAUAAGUCGAACAGGGACUAAAGUCGGUCUUAAUGAUCCGGCGAUACUAAAUGGAAAGGUCGUCGCAAACAGAUAAAAGUUA